AUUGUAGGAAUUGACCACAGAUGUUAAAAGUCUUUAUUAAGGCUUCCAAGCCUGAAUUAGUAUUCCCCAGCAAUUCCCUGUGCC